CAUAAAUUUUGCAUAGUGUUGGCUACACUGACGGCGCGCAAUCAACCGAUUUCGCAUACGGCAAGGGAGACGAAGUGAAUCCGUCGGAAUUUGCACGGAAAUAAUUCCUAUUUUUUUAUAAGUUACUCGUAUUUUUGCAUUAUUUUAGUUAUUGAAUUUCGGAGUAAAAAUGGCGUUAAAUCCACAGUACGAGGAUAUCGGUAAAGGAUUUGUGCAACAAUAUUAUGCGACGUUUGACGACCCCAACCUCAGAGCGAAUGUGGCCAAUUUCUACAGUGCGACCGAAUCAUUCAUGUCCUUUGAAGGCGUACAAUUACAAGGAGCACCUAAAAUAAUGGAAAAGUUGUCUAGCCUAUCGUUCCAAAAAAUCUCAAGAGUUAUAACUGCUGUAGAUUCACAACCAAUGUUUGAUGGCGGUGUAUUAAUCAAUGUAUUAGGAAGGCUCAAGACCGAUGAUGACCAGCCACAUGCGUACAUUCAAACAUUUGUUCUUAAGCCUGUGGGUGUUAGUUUCUUCGUACAACAUGAUAUAUUCAGGCUAUCACUUCACGACGUAUAGUUACAAGGAAAAUAUGCACUGCGUGCACUGCCCUUAACUCACGCUUGACAGUGGACGCUACAGUUACUGCUGCGAUAAUAGACGAACAUUUUAAUAAACUAUGCUACUUUGCUAACGUAUGUUACCUUAAAUAACGAUAACAAGAAACAAAACUUAAAGCCAAUUAUAAAACAAUUGCAACAAUUUAGAAUAAUAAAUUUGACUGAUUAGUGACUGUGUCGAGUUUAGUCGCCAGUUAUGCCGCCAACAACGCCUCCACCAGCGAUGCCGAUUAUACUAAGAAAUGCGAAGCAUAUUCUGCGUUUUUGAUUAACACCGCCCCAGUUUCUUAAACGCAUGCAAAAACUGAACUACACUGCAAUGCCAAUUAAUUAAAAACAUACAUGUACAGAUACAUGCUUGCCAGUCCUAUGACAAACGCUUGCAUUACAGAAACGACUCCGGAUUUAUAUUACGGAAAUUACUUGCAUAAGCUGCAACCUAUUUGUAGAAUGUUUUAAAUUGUUAUUUCAACAAUGUUUUAUAUUCAGAAGACCAAAGUUAUUUCAUCCCUUCCUAGCAGAAAAUAAGUACAAUUUUGAAACAUUUCGGUUAAAAUUUAGAAAUUCCUAUAUACACUUAUAUAUGCCAAAAUAACA